rnacentral:rRNA from 1 species
GACGAACGCUGGCGGCGUGCCUAAUACAUGCAAGUCGAGCGGACCGAACGAGGGCUUGCUCUUGUUUGGUCAGCGGCGGACGGGUGAGUAACACGUGGGCAACCUGCCCGCAAGACCGGGAUAACUCCGGGAAACCGGAGCUAAUACCGGAUAACACCGAAGACCGCAUGGUCUUCGGUUGAAAGGCGGCCUUUGGGCUGUCACUUGCGGAUUGGCCCGCGGCGCAUUAGCUAGUUGGUGAGGUAACGGCUCACCAAGGCGACGAUGCGUAGCCGGCCUGAGAGGGUGACCGGCCACACUGGGACUGAGACACGGCCCAGACUCCUACGGGAGGCAGCAGUAGGGAAUCUUCCGCAAUGGGCGAAAGCCUGACGGAGCGACGCCGCGUGAGCGAAGAAGGCCUUCGGGUCGUAAAGCUCUGUUGUGAGGGACGAAGGAGCGCCGUUCGAAGAGGGCGGCGCAGUGACGGUACCUCACGAGAAAGCCCCGGCUAACUACGUG